rnacentral:rRNA from 1 species
AGAGUUUGAUCAUGGCUCAGGAUGAACGCUGGCGGCGUGCCUAACACAUGCAAGUCGAGCGAUCUUCUUCGGAAGAGAGCGGCGGACGGGUGAGUAACGCGUGGGUAACCUGCCUCAUACACAUGGAUAACAUACCGAAAGGUAUGCUAAUACAAGAUGAUAUAAGAGAUUCGCAUGGAUUUCUUAUUAAAGCUCCGGCGGUAUGAGAUGGACCCGCGUCUGAUUAGCUAGUUGGUAAGGUAACGGCUUACCAAGGCGACGAUCAGUAGCCGACCUGAGAGGGUGAUCGGCCACAUUGGAACUGAGACACGGUCCAAACUCCUACGGGAGGCAGCAGUGGGGAAUAUUGCACAAUGGGCGAAAGCCUGAUGCAGCAACGCCGCGCGAGCGAUGAAGGCCUUCGGGUCGUAAAGCUCUGUCCUCAAGGAAGAUAAUGACGGUACUUGAGGAGGAAGCCCCGGCUAACUACGUGCCAGCAGCCGCGGUAAUACGUAGGGGGCUAGCGUUAUCCGGAUUUACUGGGCGUAAAGGGUGCGUAGGUGGUUUCUUAAGUCAGGAGUGAAAGGCUACGGCUCAACCGUAGUAAGCUCUUGAAACUGGGAAACUUGAGUGCAGGAGAGGAAAGUGGAAUUCCUAGUGUAGCGGUGAAAUGCGUAGAUAUUAGGAGGAACACCAGUAGCGAAGGCGGCUUUCUGGACUGUAACUGACACUGAGGCACGAAAGCGUGGGGAGCGAACAGGAUUAGAUACCCUGGUAGUCCACGCCGUAAACGAUGAGUACUAGGUGUCGGGGGUUACCCCCCUCGGUGCCGCAGCUAACGCAUUAAGUACUCCGCCUGGGGAGUACGCUCGCAAGAGUGAAACUCAAAGGAAUUGACGG